rnacentral:rRNA from 1 species
CUUUUCUUGUUAGUUUUUGAAGUAUGGCCUGCCCGCUGACUUGAGUGUUGAAGGGCCGCGGUAUUUUGACCGUGCAAAGGUAGCAUAAUCAUUAGUUCUUUAAUUGUGAUCUGGAAUGAAUGGCUUGACGAGGCACAAGCUGUCUUAAUGUUGAAUGUUUUAUUGAAUUUGGUUUUUGAGUUAAAAUUCUUAGAUGUUUUUGUGGGACGAGAAGACCCUAUAGAGUUUAACAUUUGGUUUAUUUGUUUGUUUGUUGUUUGUUUGUUUUAUUGGUGAGUGGACUUUUUGUUUUGUUGGGGUGAUGGGAGGAAUAUAAUUAACUCCUCUUGAUUUUGGUUAUAUUGAUUUAUAUUUAUUUGAUCC